CUCAAACUGUGUGUGUGGAGCAUCAGACUAAUUUUCAACUCCAGUUCGAUCGCCGUGUUUUGUUUAGCAGUUUGAGAUGUUUUUCUUUCUUCUCAAAAUCUUGUGAUUAGAAUUAAAAAGCAGAAAAAGCAAUAGUUCGAGAUUUGAUGAUGGAAGGGAUCCGGGUUAUCUUUUGUGAGCCACCGACGGACGCACCGACUAGUUCAGCUGAAAAAUAUUACAAUCUAAAUAAAGAAGUAUACAACAACAAUGAAUGAUACCGAAAAGUGUCACCCUUUGACCGCUGCUUACAAUUCGGAAUUCAGUGCUUGUCGGCGGGCUGCUCAAAAUGGGUUCAGUCUAGGCAACGGAGCGAUCAUGUGCAGUGAGGAAUGUUGACAUUCUGCAUGUGGCACGAGCAGUGACAUGAGGAUCUGGACGAAGCAUCUAUCCCAUUUGCAUUUUAGAGGUUUUGAGGAAUAUUGAACGUAUGUUUGAAACACUGGAAUUAGCACUUGCCGAAGGGGCCUAAGACUUUGAAGGAAACUUUGUUCAAUCAUGACUGUGGAAAGGAUCUCAACGAAGUGCAGGAAUGGUGCAGUACUAGAAGAGCUUCGGUAUUAUACACGACUUGAAUCAAGCCUGGAAUU